AACGCGAAGAACCUUACCUGGGCUCGAACGGCUUUAGACAAUCUUUGGAAACAGAGACUUCCCGCAAGGGACUGGAGUCGAGGUGCUGCAUGGCUGUCGUCAGCUCGUGUCGUGAGGUGUUGGGUUAAGUCCCGCAACGAGCGCAACCCUUACUCGUAGUUGCCACCCGCAAGGGGGAACUCUACGAGGACUGCUCCGGAUAACGGAGAGGAAGGUGGGGAUGAGGUCAAGUCAGCAUGGCCUUUAUGUCCAGGGCUACACACGUGUUACAAUGCGCGCUACAAAGCGUUGCAAACCCGCGAGGGGGAGCUAAUCGCAAAAAAGCGCGCUCAGUUCGGAUUGCAGUCUGCAACUCGACUGCAUGAAGCCGGAAUCGCUAGUAAUGGCGCAUCAGAACGGCGCCGUGAAUACGUUCCCGGGCCUUGUACACACCGCAUAC
rnacentral:rRNA from 1 species